AAGGUUUUAUGUUAAUAAAACACAUAGCCUUCAAAGCUAUCAAUAAAAGUUUUAAUCUUUUAAGCCUUA
rnacentral:tRNA from 1 species